GAACAGUCAUUGUCCUUGAGUAGGGCGGGACACGUGAAAUCCUGUCUGAACAUGGGGAGACCACUCUCCAAGCCUAAGUACUCGUGCAUGACCGAUAGCGAACAAGUACCGUGAGGGAAAGGUGAAAAGCACCCCGACGAGGGGAGUGAAAUAGAACCUGAAACCGGAUGCCUACAAACAGUCGGAGCCCGCAAGGGUGACGGCGUACCUUUUGUAUAAUGGG
rnacentral:rRNA from 1 species